AACACUUGUCAAUGGAGAGAGGCCAGACUCUCUGUACAAAUGAAAUGUACCAGAGUCUGGUAGGACCAGGCUAGUCUCUGCAGGCUUUUCUUAGGGAUCCCGAUUAGAAGUGCGUUACAAAAAUCCAGUGUGGAGGAGACAAAGGCAUGGACCAGUUUUUCAGCAUAAGGUGAGUGCCCUCCAGGAGGCGCUACAGGAGCCUCUGUUCCAGCCCACCUGCUGCUGCUGAAUGUUCCUUUUUUUGGUUCAUGCUUCAUGAUGAUGAUGAUAACAGGUAAACAGACAAACCCUUUUAUUGUUUCAUUGCAUUGAUUUAGAUGUAGAUUGUAUUCAUCUUUUGUUUAAAGUUUUUGUUAUCAUAAGGAGCUUUUUAUACUUAUCUUUUAAGUUAAAGUAGCAAUACCACAGUGUAAAAAUACUCCAUUAGAAGUAAAAGUACUCAUUAUAAAAAAAUUGACAAUAUAUGAUAACUUAUGAAAGUGAAUUAUUAUUGCAGAUGGUGAGUAAGCAGCAUUGUAUUGUUGUAGCUAGUCGACAGGUAGCUCAUGUCACGCCCCCGCCUGCUGUGACUUCUGCACGGUGACAGUCUUGUGUGUGUGUGUGUGUGUGUGUGUGUGAAUGUGUUUUGGUUUAUUUCUUCAUUUUGUUAUGCCUGCCAUGUGUUUGGUGUGUUUUCUUUGUUUUUUUUUCUCUGUCUGUCUGUGUUUCUGUUCCCGCCUACAUGUUCCACAGAGUGAGGACACGCCCCCCCUCUUGAUUCUACCCACACCUGGUACCAAUUCCAGUCAGCGCACCUGCUACUCAUCCUGCUCCAUCAUCUGCCUUCACAUGCCAGUCUGACUUUCCUCUCCCUGCCGGAUUGUUGCUUACCACUGAAAAUAACCCACCUUCGGAGUCUUCUGCUGCCAAUAGCCACGCCACCCACGCACUGGAACAUCAAGUCUGCAGCCACACUGAGGAACACAGCCCAGCACCCCCUCUGCUAGCCCUGCAUUCUUCGGACCCAGCACCCCCACUGCCAGUCUAGCCAUCUUUGGACCCAGCACCCCCUCUGCUAGCCCUGCAUUCUUCGGACCCAGCACCCCCACUGCCAGCCCACACUCACAGCUUCAAUAAAAUAAGAUUCUUUACCACCUA